CCGCGUGAAGGAUGAAGGCGUUCUGCGUUGUAAACUUCUUUUAUCUGGGAAGAAACCUACUUUUUCUAAAGUAGCCGACGGUACCAGAGGAAUAAGCACCGGCUAACUCCGUGCCAGCAGCCGCGGUAAUACGGAGGGUGCAAGCGUUAUCCGGAUUCACUGGGUUUAAAGGGUGUGUAGGCGGGUAUUUAAGUCAGUGGUGAAAUCUCCGAGCUCAACUCGGAAACUGCCAUUGAUACUAUUUAUCUUGAAUAUUGUUGAGGUAGGCGGAAUAUGUCAUGUAGCGGUGAAAUGCUUAGAUAUGACAUAGAACACCGAUUGCGAAGGCAGCUUGCUAAACAAUUAUUGACGCUGAGGCACGAAAGCGUGGGGAUCAAACAGGAUUAGAUACCCUGGUAGUCCACGCCCUAAACGAUGAUUACUGGACAUUUGCGAUAUACAGUGAGUGUCUGAGCGAAAGCAUUAAGUAAUCCACCUGGGAAGUACGUCCGCAAGGAUG
rnacentral:rRNA from 1 species